rnacentral:rRNA from 1 species
UACGUAGGUGGCUAACGUUAUCCGGAUUCACUGGGCGUAAAGAAGGCGCGGGCGGCACCUUAAGUCGGGUGUGAAAUCUCCUGACUCAAUCAGGAUAGGUCAUCCGAUACUGGGGAGCUUGAGGGCAGCAGAGGGAGAUGGAAUUCCCGGUGUAGUGGUGAUAUGCGUAGAUAUCGGGAGGAACACCAGUGGCGAAGGCGGUCUCCUAGGCUGUUCCUGACGCUGAGGCCUGAAAGCGUGGGGAGCAAAC